rnacentral:rRNA from 1 species
CCUACGGGUGGCAGCAGUGGGGAAUAUUGCACAAUGGGGGAAACCCUGAUGCAGCGACGCCGCGUGAGUGAAGAAGUAUUUCGGUAUGUAAAGCUCUAUCAGCAGGGAAGAAAAUGACGGUACCUGAUUAAGAAGCCCCGGCUAACUACGUGCCAGCAGCCGCGGUAAUACGUAGGGGGCAAGCGUUAUCCGGAUUUACUGGGUGUAAGGGGAGCGUAGACGGCGGCACAAGUCUGGGGUGAAAUGCCGGUGCUUAACCCCGGAACUGCUUUGGAAACUGUGCAGCUAGAGUGCAGGAGAGGUAAGGGGAAUUCCUGGGGUGGCGGUGAAAUGGGUAGAUAUAGGAGGAACACCAGUGGCGAAGGCGGCUUACUGGACUGUAACUGACGUUGAGGCUCGAAAGCGUGGGGAGCAAACAGGAUUAGAUACCCCAGUAGUC